GAUGAACGCUGGCGGCGUGCUUAAUACAUGCAAGUCGAGCGGACAGACGCGGAGCUUGCUCCUCUCACGUUAGCGGCGGGCGUGUGUGACACACGUGUAUAACCUACCUAUAAUUCUGGGAUAACUUCGGGACACCGGAGCUAAUACCAGAUAAUAUCUUGCACCGCAUUGGUCAAUAGUGAGAGUCGGCGUUGCUGUCUCUUAUAGAUGGAUCCGGGCUGCUUUAGCUGGUUGGUAAGGUAACGGCUUACCAAGGGUACGAUGCGUAGCCGACCGGCGGGGCUGAUAGGCCACAUUGGAACUGAAACACGGUCCAGGGUCCUAAGGGAGGCAGCAGUAGGGAAUCGUCCGCAAUGGGCGGAAAUCUGACGGAGCAACCGCGAGUGAGUGAUGAAGGUCUUCGGAUCGUAAAACUCUGUUAUGAGUGAAGAACAACUGUGUAAGUAACCAUGCACGGAUUGACGGUAACUAAUCAGAAAGCAACGGCUAACUACGUG
rnacentral:rRNA from 1 species